GACCUCGUAGCGCAAUGGUAGCGCGUCUGACUUCUGAUCAGAAGGUUGGGUGUUCAAAUCAUUUUGGGGUCA